rnacentral:rRNA from 1 species
AGGUCAAGUGAAGAAGGGCGCACGGUGAAUGCCUUGGCACUGGAAGCCGAUGAAGGACGCGACUAACCGCGAAAGUCUUCGGGGAGCCGUAAGUAGGCUUUGAUCCGGAGGUCUCCGAAUGGGGGAACCCAGCAUGUGCAGACAUGCUAUCCUUAAGUGAAUACAUAGCUUAAGGAGGGAACACGCAGUGAACUGAAACAUCUAAGUAGCUGCAGGAAGAGAAAGAAAUAUCGAUUUCCCAAGUAGCGGCGAGCGAACAGGAAAGAGCCCAAACCGGCAGAUUUAUCUGCCGGGGUUGUAGGACUGAGACAUGGCACUUCAGAGGAUAGCAGAAGCGUUUGGGAAAGCGCGCCAGAGAGGGUGAGAGCCCCGUAAGCGAAAUCCAAAGAAGGCCUAUCAGUAUCCUGAGUAGGGCGGGACACGUGAAAUCCCGUUUGAAUCCGCGAGGACCAUCUCGCAAGGCUAAAUACUAACCAGUGACCGAUAGUGAACCAGUACCGUGAGGGAAAGGUGAAAAGAACCCCGGGAGGGGAGUGAAAGAGAACCUGAAACCGUGUGCCUACAAGUAGUCAGAGCCCGUUAACGGGUAAUGGCGUGCCUUUUGUAGAAUGAACCGGCGAGUUGCGUUAGUCAGCAAGGUUAAGUCAGAAAAGACGGAGCCGUAGCGAAAGCGAGUCUGAAGAGGGCGAGCAGUUGGCUGACGCAGACCCGAAACCAAGUGACCUACCCAUGACCAGGUUGAAGGCGCGGUAAAACGCGCUGGAGGACCGAACCCACGUAAGUUGAAAAUUGCGGGGAUGAGUUGUGGGUAGCGGUGAAAUUCCAAACGAACUUGGAGAUAGCUGGUUCUCUCCGAAAUAGCUUUAGGGCUAGCCUCGCAAAGAGGAUGCUGGAGGUAGAGCUCUGUUUGGACUAGGGGCCCGUCAAGGGUUACUGAAUUCAGAUAAACUGCGAAUUCCAGACAUUUAUGUGCGGGAGUCAGACUGCGAGUGAUAAGAUCCGUAGUCGAAAGGGAAACAGCCCAGAUCACCAGUUAAGGUCCCAAAAUUCAUGCUAAGUGGAAAAGGAUGUGGAGUUGCGCAGACAACUAGGACGUUGGCUCAGAAGCAGCCAUCAUUCAAAGAGUGCGUAAUAGCUCACUAGUCGAGUGACGCCGCGCCGAAAAUUUACCGGGGCUAAGCAUGAUACCGAAACUGUGGAUGUGCAUUUAUGCACGUGGUAGGAGAGCGUUCUAGCGGCGGUGAAGCAUGACCGAGAGGACAUGUGGAGCUUCUAGAAGUGAGAAUGCCGGUAUGAGUAACGAAAGACAGGUGAGAAUCCUGUCCGCCGCAAGACUAAGGUUUCCUGGGGCAGGCUCGUCCGCCCAGGGUAAGUCGGGACCUAAGGCGAGGCCGAGAGGCGUAGUCGAUGGACAACAGGUUGAAAUUCCUGUACUGCACCGAAUCGUUAUGAGCGAUGGAGGGACGCAGGAGGCUAGCAGCGCGUGGUGCUGGAUACCACGUUCAAGCGUCAAGUCUGAGAGUGAGUCAAAUGCUUGCUCUCAUAAGGACAAGGCGUGAUGAGGAGCGAAAUUAAAGUAGCGAAGG